UUCGCAAUGCCCGAAAGGGUGACGAUGCGACGCCGCGUGAGCGAAGAAGGCCCUAGGGUUGUAAAGCUCUGUCGAGGGUUAUGAAAUAUAGAUGGGUUAAUACCCCAUUUAUUUGACAAAAGCUCAAAAGGAAGCCACGGCUAACUCUGUGCCAGCAGCCGCGGUAAUACAGAGGUGGCGAGCGUUGUUCGGUAUUAUUGGGCGUAAAGAGCAAGUAGGUGGCUUUGUAAGUCAGGUGUGAAAGCCUUCUGUUCAAAGGAAGAACGGCAUCUGAAACUGCAGAUCUUGAGUGUAGGAGGGGAGAGUGGAACUUCUGGUGGAGCGGUGAAAUGCGUAGAUAUCAGAAGGAACGUCGGCGGCGAAAGCGACUCUCUGGCCUAUUACUGACACCGAGGUGCGAAAGUUAGGGGAGCAAACGGGAUUAGAUACCCCGGUAGUCCUAACCGUAAACGAUGGGCACUAAGUAGAGGGGUUUU
rnacentral:rRNA from 1 species